UUAAGUAAAAGGGCCCAAUAAUGUACAGUACAAGAAGUUUAAAUAGUUCACAAAUAUGAGCUUUAAUGCAAAGAUGAGAAUAGCACCAUUACCUUGAAAAAGUCUUACUGUUACAAGUGCAAAAAUGUUAAAUGAAGAGAUGUUUAAGCUGUCAGUUCUGCUCUUUCUAAUUUCCUAGCCCAUUUUGCUUGGUUCACGACUUCAAAAACCAGAAACACUGGACGCAUUGUGUGGCGGUGAAGUUACGUGUAAUAGGACUAUAGAAUAGAAAUGGGAAUUAAAUUAAAAUUGAAACUGUGGCUCUUCCGGACCUGCCUUCUUCAUCCUGAUGCUCUACUUCUGCUGGAUGUUUCCCAUAGAUAUGAUAAAGAUGUUCUCUUCCCCAAAAACAGUUUAUACCCAAGUCUGGCCAUUGCUUCACUAGAUAAUCUCACAUGAAUACAGUAAAUUUGUACCUGCUGUAAUCAUAAAGACUGCUAUGUAGACUCACAAGACUCUUAUUCACAAUAUACUUAUAUGCUUCCACUUCCACAGUUCCACAGAAAUCUAAAUCGACAUUCAGGUUUCUGUAAAGCUGCUAUGUGAAAAUGUCCGUUGUUAAAACUGAUUUUACUUCUGUCUACAUCUGAGACUUCUUGCACCUACACACUAUAUAUACACCCUCUGCCCAUAUGCUGAAUUUCAAUUGGCCCACAUUCUUCAUAUUUUCACAUUAAAUACACAGAUGCAAAUUUGCUAUCACACUUUAUAUCAUGUUGUGAAGCUGAAAUGUGUUGAACUGCUUGUUCAUGACAAGUCUAGAAGAGGAGCAAACAUGGCAUGGUGGUAAUGUUGGUGGUUAUUUCUUGAUGAGCUGUUCCUUUAAGACAGAUCAGACAGAUGAACAUGGUGUGUGAUGUUGCUGUUUUGUCUCAGAGGAGAUACUUGUUUUAGGAUAAACAAGGUUCUGGAAAAUCUGAAAGCAGUGCAUGUAAAUGAAGACAGGCUUUGAUCAAAUGUGGACUGGUAAUGUACAUACUGACUAUUUACCUGAUAAUUAUUUUCUGAUGAAUUUAGAUGCAUGCAUGGUAAACAUUUAUAAUAAUAUUGUCUGACAUGUUGGCUUUUUGCCUGGUCAGUAGAAAUCUUUUUAGCUGAUUGUUAUGUCAGAAAAGAUUUCCAACAAAGAGGACAAGGUGAUACACUUAAAUUGUGAUUCUAUAUGUCCAUUCAAAAAUACUUACUUACUGCCUCUUUCUCUGCUUGCCUUUCCUUUAACUGUCCCUAUUUUAAGCAUUCUCCUAUCCCAUAUAACACCCUCUCCAACCUUCUAGCCUCACAACUUAUCCGUGCAUGGAUUUUCUGUCGACUUACCUAGGGAGAUCGAAGACUAAUUAAGAUUGUUAAUGAAGAUUUAAUUUUCCGCUUUCCAACCCAGCAAGCACUUGAAAGAUGCAAAAGAUGCAGUGAAUUUUUAUUUAACAAACAAAACAGUACCGGAUCUGCAGUCUGAUAUUUCUACCACAAAUGUAGCAUUGUAAGUGCUUGAACAUUUCAGCUGUGCUGUUUUACUUUGCUUUACAGAGCAGGACAUCUAGCUUGUAUCAACACCGAUAACCCUCCCUACAGAUGAAACUGCAACACAUUCACAGCAAAUCAUACGUGAUAGCCUGGGGAAUGUCUCUAUGUCAGCUGAAAGGAUCAAAAAGAAUUGGGAAUGCUGAACACCCAGCUACGUAUACACAUGCCUGUCUGCCAUGAUGUGAGUGCAGGACUGUGUGGCCUGCGGUUCUCUCUCACUGCCUUGCUGCAUUAAUUAUUCACCAGGCUAAUUAUGGAGGAUGUGGUUAUCUUCACCUGCUGUAUCUCGGGCAAACUGAACAGCAAGCACACUGCCGGCUUCUUUAGUUCACAUCCCUGAAAAAUGUGGCACUGGUUACAAUUGUACAAGGCGAGAACAAUUUACUUGCAAAAUCUUCAUUGUGCAAAGCUUUUAGUGCCUCAGUGAAUGCAUCUCAUAUAUUAUUGGUGUUCCCUUAUGCCCAUUGCUAGUAUUUAGGAAGAUUUACAGCAUCAUUUCUUUUUAGACCACACAUCCUUUUGUUGAGAAGUGACUUAAAUUGCUUAUAUAACAGUGAAUAGAGGAAACAAUUACCAAAAAUAGUCUUACUCUUCCUGCUGCGUGGGUAAUCUGCUUGGAGCACUUGUGAUUCACUUUCCUACUUGGAUACCAUAAAGUUUUGCAACCCCCCCUCCCCAGAAAAAAAAAAAAAAUUAAACAGCUUAUACCCUUAAUUCAGUGGAUAAUCUCACCUGGAUACUAUAGAUUUGUAGGUAAGAACUGCUGCUGUACCCAUACAUAGUGUUCUGUGCUCAUCCCAGGACUUUUAUUCAUGAUAUACAGGAUGUUCAUAUAGAACGUCUUUUCAACACACAGUCAACACAGUCAGAUUUCUUACUCGCCACUGCCACCUCUGGUUUGCUCAUUCGGGAUCUAAAUGUACAUCCGAUUUUUUGAAAAGCUGCUUUGUGAUCAUUUCUAUUGUUAAAAUCAGUGUACAGAUUAAACUGAAUUGAAUAAUCAUGUUCUCCCUAUGUCUGUGUGGGUUUGCUUUAGGUUUUUUGAUUUCUUCCCACUGUCCAAAAACAUGCACUGUUCCUAGGAUUGGCUCCAGAUCCAAUCCACUAUGGCCCUGACACCGGGAUAAAGUGAAGGAAAGUAUCCCCACACCAUCACACUUCCACCACCAUGCUUGUCCGUAGUGGCUAUAUGAUGUUGAGAUCCAUCUUUUCACACUGAGGAUGACUGAGGGACUCGUACACAACUAUUACAAAAGGUCAUCAUCGGAGGGCUCUUAAAAAAAAAAAAAAGUGUCGUCUGAAAACAACUGCCUGGGAGCGUUGCCAUGAUGGUCACCAAGUGGACAGAAUUUACUAGAAGGACUUUGGUAUAAUGUACAUCUUGUGCUCUUCUAUUGGAUUAUCAUAUGGUUAAUUAAUACGCAACUGUGACGCAACUGUCGUACUUCCUGCUUAGGAUUGUCUCAUAGUUUUAAUUAUUACUCCUCACUAAGAAUUGCUCUGAGAAUUUUUACUCCCAGCUAUUAAGUAUCUUUUCAGUCUUAGGUAAAACAUUACAGGCUAUUUUUAAGAAGAAUUGUCAGAGGGGUAAAAUGAGAGAGA
ensembl:lncRNA